rnacentral:rRNA from 1 species
UGGGGAAUUUUGGACAAUGGGCGAAAGCCUGAUCCAGCAAUGCCGCGUGUGUGAAGAAGGCCUUCGGGUUGUAAAGCACUUUUGUCCGGAAAGAAAUCCUUGGCUCUAAUACAGUCGGGGGAUGACGGUACCGGAAGAAUAAGCACCGGCUAACUACGUGCCAGCAGCCGCGGUAAUACGUAGGGUGCAAGCGUUAAUCGGAAUUACUGGGCGUAAAGCGUGCGCAGGCGGUUUGCUAAGACCGAUGUGAAAUCCCCGGGCUCAACCUGGGAACUGCAUUGGUGACUGGCAGGCUAGAGUAUGGCAGAGGGGGGUAGAAUUCCACGUGUAGCAGUGAAAUGCGUAGAGAUGUGGAGGAAUACCGAUGGCGAAGGCAGCCCCCUGGGCCAAUACUGACGCUCAUGCGCGAAAGCGUGGGGAGCAAAACAGGAUUAGAUACCCUGGUAGUCCACGCCCUAAACGAUGUCAACUAGUUGUUGGGGAUUCAUUUCCUUAGUAACGUAGCUAACGCGUGAAGUUGACCGCCUGGGGAGUACGGUCGCAAGAUUAAAACUUAAAGGAAUUGACGGGGUCAUAGCUGUUUCCU